rnacentral:rRNA from 1 species
UACGUAGGUGGCAAGCGUUGUCCGGAUUUACUGGGCGUAAAGAGCGCGCAGGCGGUCGAUUAAGUCGGAUGUGAAAUCCCCUGGCUCAACUGGGAGGCGUCAUUCGAUACUGCUCGACUUGAAGGCAGGAGAGGGAAGCGGAAUUCCCGGUGUAGUGGUGAAAUGCGUAGAUAUCGGGAGGAACACCAGUGGCGAAGGCGGCUCACUGGCCCGGUACUGACGCUGAGGUGCGAAAGCGUGGGGAGCAAACAGG